UACGUAGGGGGCAAGCGUUGUCCGGAAUCAUUGGGCGUAAAGAGCGUGUAGGCGGCCCGGUAAGUCCGCUGUGAAAGUCCAGGGCUCAACCCUGGAAUGCCGGUGGAAACUGUCAGGCUAGAGUCCGGAAGAGGCGAGUGGAAUUCCUGGUGUAGCGGUGAAAUGCGCAGAUAUCAGGAGGAACACCAAUGGCGAAGGCAGCUCGCUGGGACGGUACUGACGCUGAGACGCGAAAGCGUGGGGAGCAAACAGG
rnacentral:rRNA from 1 species